rnacentral:lncRNA from 1 species
UUUGCGCCAUACUUGGACCCAUGCCAUUAUCUCCAUGCCAAAUAGGAUUUGGCUUGACCUUUUUGGUGUUAAAGUAGUAGACCUAAUAAGGGUGGCCAGCAAUGAUUGAUGACUCAUAAUCCUAUCUCUUGUCAAAUUUGAAUGCGAUCCGAAUUAGAGAUAAAAUAAAAAUAAGGAAAGAAAUUUUUCGUACAAGGAAGGUUGUUGGCA